rnacentral:lncRNA from 1 species
CACUUCUUAAUUUUAAAAAUCUCUCCCUCUUUUCAAAACCUUCGUUGUUUGUGAUUUUCAACUUAGACAUUAUUUUAAUGAUUAGAAACAUUGGCCUUAUGCCAAUGAAUUUUAAAAAUAUUUUUCUUAAUCAAACUUAUAAAUGAACUUAACAAUAUUGACUUGAAUUUCAAAAGAUACAAAAAGAACUAACAACCCCAUUCAAAACUUUGGCCUUUUGUGCCCUCUUCUUAAAUUUUUGUUAAA